rnacentral:tRNA from 1 species
GGAGAGUUGUCCGAGUGGUUUAAGGAGGCGGUCUUGAAAACCGUUGAGGUGAAAGCCUCCGGGGGUUCGAAUCCCUCACUCUCCG